rnacentral:lncRNA from 1 species
GAAAAUAAAAACAUGAAUCUGAAUGACAAAAAUUGAGAUCCAUAUCCUCUGAAACAUGUGUAAAUGGAUAUAUAGCUGUCAGAUAAAUUACCUUUACAGCUUCUUCCACCUUGAAACCCAGUAAUAAUAAAGCCUGCAAAGUGCAAAGAAAUGAACGAAUUAAUUUCAUCCGUUGGAACUCGAAAUAUGCUGGGUUAAUUUCAGAACUUGAUAUAAGUUUUAGAAAAAAAUUGCUGAAAUCAACAUUCUCUCAUGUAUUUCUGAAUUCUGACUUCAUACUUAAUGAGGUAAUAUAUUAUGCAUUGCAAAGAAGAUCCAAUGUGUCUCCACAGGAUUUAGAGUCCUGUUUCCAAAAAUUAUAUAGACUAGCCAUGUCAACGGACGGCUAUAGAAACAUCUGAAACCCAAAAAAUAGCAAUUUUGGAACUAUCACGUCACAUAAAUUAAAAAUAAAUCAAGUGAGAUGUCUGAGGAUCUCCAUUUUACCCACUUCUCCACUUUUAUUUGGCUUGCCUACAGGCCGGUAAAUCUGUUUAAUUGAAAGUGUUCUCACAUUUUUUAAUCGAAACUUUGUCUUAUAUUGAACAACAUAUAUAUUCAUGACAGCACAGAACUAACCAGAACUUACAGGUGGACCAUAGCAUGGAUCCUCAGAUUCUAAGGGAACAAACUUGGAAGUUUCAAUCAACU